CAUAGCCUUUCGCAAAUCUAAAUUAGCAAGACAGCACAAACAGAUCUGGGACCAGGCUAGCUCUAACACACUCUAAUCUACUGAUCAGCACAAACUGAUCUGGGACCAGGCUAGCUCUAACACACUCUAAUUUACUGAUCAGCACAAACUGAUCUGGGACCAGGCUAGCUCUAACACACUCUAAUUUACUGAUCAGCACAAACUGAUCUGGGACCAGGCUAGCUCUAACACACUCUAAUCUACUGAUCAGCACAAACUAAUCUGGGACCAGGCUAGCUCUAACACACUCUAAUCUACUGAUCAGCACAAACUGAUCUGGGACGAGGCUAGCUCUAACACACUCUAAUUUACUGAUCAGCACAAACUAAUCUGGGACCAGGCUAGCUCUAACACACUCUAAUUUACUGAUCAGCACAAACUAAUCUGGGACCAGGCUAGCUCUAACACACUCUAAUCUACUGAUCAGCACAAACUGAUCUGGGACCAGAAUAGCUCUAACACACUCUAAUCUACUGAUCAGCACAAACUAAUCUGGGACCAGGCUAGCAAAAGCCUGCCACACAGUAUCUCUUCAGGCGGCGGUUUUGACCACCUCUUGCCUUACUGUAGGACUUCCUGAAAUAGGUUUCAAGGUUUCAUACGAGUUCACAUGGGGACAUUCGUCACAUGAUGCAUUCUGAAAAUUGUACAAACAAUGCGUUAAUCCACAUCAGAUUAAAAUCCCAAAAGAUACAUUUUCGCAAAAAUGUAAUGAUCUAUUCCAGAGUAUUGAUUAUUGAGUAUUGAUUAUUGACUCUUUAGAGGGUUUAAGAACACAUUUUAAUCCGUUUUAUUAGAAUUGAUCAGACCGAAUAUUGAACAGUGACUUUGGGAUCAUGGGUAGUAUUAUCAUGAAGCACUUUUGUGUUGUGCCAAAAAAUUAAUAAA
ensembl:lncRNA